rnacentral:rRNA from 1 species
GAUGAACGCUGGCGGCGUGCCUAAUACAUGCAAGUCGAGCGAACAGACGAGGAGCUUGCUCCUCUGACGUUAGCGGCGGACGGGUGAGUAACACGUGGAUAACCUACCUAUAAGACUGGGAUAACUUCGGGAAACCGGAGCUAAUACCGGAUAAUAUAUUGAACCGCAUGGUUCAAUAGUGAAAGACGGUAUUUCUGUCACUUAUAGAUGGAUCCGCGCCGCAUUAGCUAGUUGGUAAGGUAACGGCUUACCAAGGCGAGGAUGCGUAGCCGACCUGAGAGGGUGAUCGGCCACACUGGAACUGAGACACGGUCCAGACUCCUACGGGAGGCAGCAGUAGGGAAUCUUCCGCAAUGGGCGAAAGCCUGACGGAGCAACGCCGCGUGAGUGAUGAAGGUCUUCUGAUCGUAAAACUCUGUUAGUAGGGAAGAACAAAUGUGUAAGUAACUAUGCACGUCUUGACGGUACCUAAUCAGAAAGCCACGGCUAACUACGUG